rnacentral:rRNA from 1 species
UACGUAGGUGGCAAGCGUUGUCCGGCUUUACUGGGCGUAAAGAGCGCGCAGGCGGUCGAGUAAGUCUCGUGUGAAAGCCCCCGGCUCAACUGGGGAGGGUCACGCGAUACUGAUCGACUCGAAGGCAGGAGAGGGUAGUGGAAUUCCCGGUGUAGUGGUGAAAUGCGUAGAUAGCGGGAGGAACACCUGUGGCGAAAGCGGCGCACUGGACCACUUCUGACGCUGAGGCGCGAAAGCUAGGGGAGCAAACAGG